rnacentral:rRNA from 1 species
AUGGGGGGCCCACCGCGGGGGUUGCCGGCGAGGGAGGGGGUCGCCGGAAGAGGAAGGGAACGGGACGGGACGGGACGGAACGGGUCUCUGGUCUCUGGCUGUGGGGGAGAGGCGGGGAGGGUGAUAUGGGGAAACCGCAGAGAAGGGAGACGAGAGAGCCCCACUUGUACCCGUCGCCCACGCUUUUCUCUAUCCCUCUCCCUUUAUUUUCGCUUUCCUUUUUUUGCGUCGGGUUGGAGGAGGAGAGGGAGAGGGAGAGGGAGGCGACGAGGUCAUGGGAGCGGCGUUGGCGUUGGCGUUGGCGUUGGAGUUGGUUCCACCAGAACUGACGCUAACGGAACCGCGUCCCCCGCGCGCUCUCUCUCCCCGUCCUGCCCCUCGGCCUCUCCACUCCUCGCCCAUUGUCUUUCUUUGUUUCUGGUGGGACUUUUCCUUCUCCUCUCGCCUGUGUGA